rnacentral:rRNA from 1 species
CCUGCCUGUACCAUAACCGACACAGGUGGGUAGGUAGAGUAUACUAAGGGGCGCGAGGUAACUCUCUCUAAGGAACUCGGCAAAUGACUCCGUAACUUCGGGAGAAGGAGUGCCUUAUUUAUAAGGUUGCAAUAACAAGAUCCAAGCAACUGUUUAUCAAAAACACAGGUCUCCGCUAAGUCGUAAGACGAUGUAUGGGGGCUGACGCCUGCCCAGUGCCAGAAGGUUAAAGAAGUUGGUUAGUGUAUGCGAAGCUGAUGACUGAAGCCCUGGUGAACGGCGGCCGUAACCAUAACGGUCCUAAGGUAGCGAAAUUCCUUGUCGGGUAAGUUCCGACCCGCACGAAAGGCGUAAUGAUUUGGAUACUGUCUCGGAGAGAGGCUCGGUGAAAUAGACUUGUCUGUGAAGAUGCGGACUACCUGCACCAGGACAGAAAGACCCUAUGAAGCUUCACUGUAACUUGAAAUUGGAAUUGGACUUUGCUUGCGCAGUAUAGGUGGGAAGCGUUGAAGAUAUUCUUGCGGGAGUAUUGGAGCUAUCAGUGAGAUACCACUCUUGUAAUGUUAGAUUUCUAACUUUGAACCAUAAUCUGGUCAAAGAACAGUUUCAGGUGGGCAGUUUGACUGGGGCGGUCGCCUCCCAAAUGGUAACGGAGGCGUACAAAGGUUUCCUCUGAACGGAUAGAAAUCGUAUCUAGAGUGUAAAGGCAUAAGGAAGCUUGACUGUGAGACCUACAAGUCGAGCAGGGACGAAAGUCGGUCUUAGUGAUCUGACGGUACUGAGUGGAAAGGCCGUCACUCAACGGAUAAAAGUUACUCUAAGGAUAACAGGCUGAUCUCCCCCAAGAGUUCACAUCGACGGGGAGGUUUGGCACCUCGAUGUCGGCUCAUCGCAUCCUGGGGCGGUAGUACGUCCCAAGGGUUGGGCUGUUCGCCCAUGAAAGCGGUACGCGAGCUGGGUUCAGAACGUCGUGAGACAGUUCGGUCCAUAUCCGGUGUAGGCGUUAGAAUAUUGAGAGGAGCCUUCUUUAGUACGAGAGGACCGAGAAGGACACACCGCUGGUGUACCAGUUAUCGUGCCAACGGUAAACGCUGGGUAGCUAUGUGUGGAGUGGAUAACCGCUGAAAGCAUCUAAGUGGGAAGCCCACCUCAAGAUGAGUAUUCUCAUCACUAUAAGUGAGUAAGGUCACGGUAAGACUAACCGUUUGAUAGGCAUUAAGUGUAAAUGUAGUAAUGCAUGUGCUGAGAUGUCCUAACAGACCGAGGACUUGAGC